GAAUCUUCCGCAAUGGACGAAAGUCGGACGGAGCAACGCCGCGUGAGUGAAGAAGGCCUUCGGGUCGUAAAACUCUGUUGUUAGGGAAGAAUCAGUGUCGGAGUAACUUCCGGCACCUUGACGGUCACUACCUACACAGCCACGGCGAACUACGUACCAGCAGCCGCGGUAAUACGUAGGUGGCAAGCGUUGUCCGGAAUUAUUGGGCGUAAAGCGCGCGCAGGCGGUUUCUUAAGGCUGAUGUGAAAGCCCCAGGCUCAACCGGGGAGGGUCAUUGGAAACUGGGAAACUUGAGUGCAGAAGAGAAGAGCGGAAUUCCACGUGUAGCGGUGAAAUGCGUAGAGAUGUGGAGGAACACCAGUGGCGAAGGCGGCUCUUUGGUCUGUAACUGACGCUGAGGCGCGAAAGCGUGGGGAGCAAACA
rnacentral:rRNA from 1 species